rnacentral:rRNA from 1 species
AUACGUAGGUGGCAAGCGUUGUCCGGAUUUACUGGGCGUAAAGGGAGCGUAGGCGGACUUUUAAGUGGGAUGUGAAAUACCCGGGCUUAACCUGGGUGCUGCAUUCCAAACUGGGAGUCUAGAGUGCAGGAGGGGAAAGUGGAAUUCCUAGUGUAGCGGUGAAAUGCGUAGAGAUUAGGAGGAACACCAGUGGCGAAGGCGGCUUACUGGACGGUAACUGACGUUGAGGCUCGAAAGCGUGGGGAGC